UACGGGGGGUGCGAGCGUUGUCCGGAAUCACUGGGCGUAAAGGGCGCGUAGGUGGUUUGAUAAGGGUGUGGUGAAAGUCCGGGGCUCAACCCCGGAUCUGCCUUGCCGACUGUCAAACUCGAGGGCUGUAGAGGCAGACGGAAUUCCGGGUGUAGCGGUGGAAUGCGUAGAGAUCCGGAGGAAGACCGGUGGCGAAGGCGGUCUGCUGGGCAGUUUCUGACACUGAUGCGCGACAGCGUGGGGAGCAAACAGG
rnacentral:rRNA from 1 species